UACGAAGGGGGCUAGCGUUGCUCGGAAUCACUGGGCGUAAAGGGUGCGUAGGCGGGUUUUUAAGUCGGUGGUGAAAUCCUGGAGCUCAACUCCAGAACUGCCUUCGAUACUGAGAGUCUCGAGUCCGGGAGAGGUGAGUGGAACUGCGAGUGUAGAGGUGAAAUUCGUAGAUAUUCGCAAGAACACCAGUGGCGAAGGCGGCUCACUGGCCCGGUACUGACGCUGAGGUGCGAAAGCGUGGGGAGCAAACAGG
rnacentral:rRNA from 1 species